AGCAUGUUCGCGUCACGAGGUGAACACAUUCAUUCCGGUGCGGCCGUGAAUGGGUGACCAAGUUGAAUUGCUUUGAUCAGAGUUCAUUCGCUUUGACCAAAGGCUGCCGACUGAGUCCCAACCC